rnacentral:tRNA from 1 species
CCGGGAAUAGUCAAGUAAGUGGAAGCUGGCCGCUCUGUAAAAGCGGUGCCGUGAAGGCCUUGGAUGUUCGAUUCAUCCUUCCCGGA